rnacentral:snRNA from 1 species
AUAGCUGGAGCUCGGACG